CCCUUAGAUGUUCUGGGCCGCACGCGCGCUACACUGAUCAGUGCAACAAGCAUCCGUCCUUGGCCGACAGGCCCGGGCAAUCUUUGAACCCCGUUCGUGGUAGGGAUCGGGGCCUGCAAUUAUUCCCCGUGAACCAGGAAUGCCCAGUAAGUGCAAGUCAUAAGCUUGCGUUGAUUACGUCCCUGCCCUUUGUACACACCGCCCGUCGCUACUACCGAUUGAACGUUUUAGUGAGGUACUCGGACUGAGCCUCAGAAGAUUCACGUCUUUUGUGCUGCUCGGGAAGAUUCCCAAACUUGAGCGUUUAGAGGAAGUAAAANUCGUAACA
rnacentral:rRNA from 1 species